rnacentral:sRNA from 1 species
GGGUGACGCACUUUAAUGUACUGACAGUGAACGGAUAUUUUAGAAUGACGACAUAGACUUUGGGGUUAGAGGUUAAGAUUGACGUUUAGGAAUCAGUUACCGCUAGAUUCUCAAAGGGAUAACAUCGUUCUAUAGUGACAGACAAGACUGUGGCCCAUUCUGUAAUAAACGUUUGUUUGAAGUUCACCUUGAGUCUACUUGGUCAUUGAGUCUGUGUUCCUGUUUAGUACCUGAUCUCUAUUUGUGACGGUGUGCAUGAAGAGCUCGUAGAUUGAAAAUACAUCAUACAAGUGCCUGGCAUCUGGACGCAAUGGAAUGCUUGGGAAUGUCGAGAUAAAUGUGGCAACAGUUCGUAUGUCAGAUACAGAGGAUGCAAGCCGAGGUUGGAAGGUCCGUUAGAAAUGAACUGCCCAGGUGAUCCUUACAUGACCAAGGAUGGAAUCUGUAUAACAGGGGUAUCUUGCAAUACAGAUUGUCCCGUUGGAUUGUACGGUGAGCAGUGUUUGAACGACUGCAGCAAUUGUGAGAACAAGUGUAACUCACGCAACGGCUCCUGCUCUUCUUGUAAAGCUGGUUGGGCGGAGCCAAGGUUUGCUUGCA